rnacentral:lncRNA from 1 species
CCUGUCCGCUCGCCGAAAGGAAACCGGUAUUGUGUUCUGGCAGCCCAAAACAACCCCGACCGAGUCGCACGGCCUCUACAGCAAAAUCCGGCUAAUUUCGCACAAAGGAAUCAACCGUAAAGGCAGUUGUCUUGAUGCUUUAUUUUUUCUCUUUUCCUAAUUUCUUAUUUAUACUUCUUACCUUGUUUGGAAAAGAGAAUGUGAGGAAGCCAGUCCAUGUGGAUAUCAUUGAAGAUGUAAAAAAACUUCCUGGGAGACACAACUUAGAGCUUCCCACGUCACCACUACAUACACAACAUAAGUCAAACCUAGAUGAUCUCCAGAACAGGUUACAAAAGCAAGUACUGGACAGCAGAAGGCAGCAU